GACGAACGCUGGCGGCGUGCUUAACACAUGCAAGUCGAACGGAAAGGCCCUGCUUUUGUGGGGUGCUCGAGUGGCGAACGGGUGAGUAACACGUGAGUAACCUGCCCUUGACUUUGGGAUAACUUCAGGAAACUGGGGCUAAUACCGGAUAGGAGCUCCUGCUGCAUGGUGGGGGUUGGAAAGUUUCGGCGGUUGGGGAUGGACUCGCGGCUUAUCAGCUUGUUGGUGGGGUAGUGGCUUACCAAGGCUUUGACGGGUAGCCGGCCUGAGAGGGUGACCGGCCACAUUGGGACUGAGAUACGGACCAGACGCCUACGGGAGGCAGCAGUCGGGAAUAUUGCACAAUGGGCGGAAGCCUGAUGCAGCAACGCCGCGUGCGGGAUGACGGCCUUCGGGUUGUAAACCGCUUUCGCCUGUGACGAAGCGUGAGUGACGGUAAUGGGUAAAGAAGCACCGGCUAACUACGUG
rnacentral:rRNA from 1 species